rnacentral:rRNA from 1 species
UGGGGAAUAUUGCACAAUGGGCGCAAGCCUGAUGCAGCGACGCCGCGUGAGGGAUGACGGCCUUCGGGUUGNAAACCUCUUUCAGCAGGGACGAAGCGCGAGUGACGGUACCUGCAGAAGAAGCACCGGCCAACUACGUGCCAGCAGCCGCGGUAAUACGUAGGGUGCGAGCGUUGUCCGGAAUUACUGGGCGUAAAGAGCUCGUAGGCGGUUUGUCGCGUCGUCUGUGAAAUUCUGCAGCUUAACUGCAGGCGUGCAGGCGAUACGGGCAGACUUGAGUACUACAGGGGAGACUGGAAUUCCUGGUGUAGCGGUGAAAUGCGCAGAUAUCAGGAGGAACACCGGUGGCGAAGGCGGGUCUCUGGGUAGUAACUGACGCUGAGGAGCGAAAGCGUGGGUAGCGAACAGGAUUAGAUACCCUGGUAGUCCACGCCGUAAAACGGUGGGUACUAGGUGUGGGUUCCAUUUCACGGGAUCCGUGCCGUAGCUAACGCAUUAAGUACCCCGCCUGGGGAGUACGGCCGCAAGGCUAAAACUCAAAUGAAUUG